rnacentral:lncRNA from 1 species
AUAGCAAAUAAAAUAACUCAGGCUGUUGUUAAGACCAGUGUAAAUGUGUUGGUUAAAUGGUUCUAGGUAAUAAAAUUGCCUCCAGUUAUUUAUGAGCCUGCCAAGGCAGAAUCUGUGCAAUAGCUAAUAUAUCUCAUUAUAAAUGCUUUAGGAAAAGCAGAACAAUCGAUUAAUCAAGAAAAAAGGCUGUUUGUCUAAAGUUGACCGACUGAUUCAUAGAGCCUGCUGGAGGGUGAGAGACCCUGGAAGCUGGAGCUAGUUGCUGUAGUGGAGGCCAGUCUAGAUCAGAUGACAGCCACCGGACAUGUAAGCAAAUCUAGCUAAGAUCAUCAGCAUCAACAGAACCAACUCUCAAAUGCAUGAGAAAUACUUAUUUUUUCUUUUUCUUUUUCUUUUUUUGGUGGAUGGGUUGUGUCACAGCAUGUGGGAUCUUAAUAUUCCCGGCCAGGGCUCGAACCCAUGUCCCGUACAGUGGAAGCAUGGAGUCGUAACCACUGGAGCACCAGGGAAGACGCUUUGUUUUUCUUUCUUUCUUUGUUUGAGAAAUACUUAUUUUUUCAAAGCCACUGUGUUUUAGGGUAGUUUGUUCCAUAGCAAAAGCUAACUGAUACAGCUCCCCAGGAAGCUGAAUUUUGACCCAAAAGUGUGGUUGCCGUGGAGAUGUGCUGCUGAGAGCCCCUCCAAGACAGAGCCUGCUAUGAAGAGUGUACUUAGCCACCAUGUUCCAGCUAUGGCAUCUCAGGGAUCUGCUGUAGCUUUUGAGCUUAUGCCAUGCUGUCCUGGCCAGCCAAUGGCCGAUCAAGGCAGGAAUCUUUGGAGCUCCCUGUUGGGGUGGCUGAGAUUUUCUUGGAGUUGCACUGUCAUUGACACUCUUGCUAGCCAAUCGUCCUUUCUUCCUCCCUUCACAGGUAGAAGACCUAUGUCUAAGUUUCAGUCAGAACUGUAGUUAUUUACUUCCGUCUGGUUUACGCUGGAGUAUCUUCCCUUCCCCAAUAAUAAUGGCAUUAUGGGAAAAACUGGAGUUGAUCAAGUGAAGAGUACACAGAGGCAGGGCUGCGUAAUAAAUUGUGUAGUGUAUCACUGCUUUACUCAUUGGCAUCAGUGCCUGGAAGGACCUAAGUAUGGGGGACAGAGAGAAGUUCACACUCUUGUACCCAAGUUGGCCAGUCUAGGUGGCCUGUCUUUCACAUCACUCCAGAGUUGGGCCAGCCCAGAGUGGAAAUAGAGUAGGGUGUAGGUAGAUGAAGAUGUACAAUGCCCCAGUCAGGUGGUCCUGGCACAGAGGAUGCCAGUAAUCUAGAUUCUAAUGCAACAAACCCACUCUCUGGAACUCAGUUCUGACCUUAAUCCCAUUGUUCGGCCUUUCCGCAAUUCCUUUCAAGUUGGAACAGAUCUGUUGUUCUUCAGGCCUGCCCCAGUCUAGGGUCAGCAACAUUCAUGUCUUCUUCCCCCAAGUCUUCUGCGUUUCUUGGUACAAUAGGGUGUCUGACACUGGACCUGGGGAGACCUCAAAGGUGAGCCCAGAGAUAUGUGGGGAGCCAGGGCUACUCCCUGCAGCAAGCUCCCUAGGAAAGUUCUCCCUAAAAGAAGAUGUUGGAGAGGAACUCAAGAGCAGGACAGAGCUGGGAGGAUGCUACCUGAGGAGAAUGGGUUCUAUAGAAGCUGGGUGAGUCCUCCUCAGCAGAAAGGCUGGAGGUCCACCUUAGCGGGCCACAUGCGGGCCAUGCAGUGACUGGCUGGAGAUGCCAAAUCCAGAGGCAUUAGGCCUGAGCAGGUUUCCAGUAUGGCUAGUGGGCUAGUUUUCCCAGACUAGCAAUUCAGUUUCACUACUGGAAGAGGGUGGCUUGGCUUCCCUCCUCUCUUGAACUCAGGACUGAGGCCCAGGACACAUGUCACAACACCUGGUGUGAGUUGGGGACAGACAGGAGUGGCAGAUGUGCCCCAUUAGUCUGCAUUGCCACCUGACUGGCUGUGGGAAAGGUAGCCUGGAAGGUAGGGACCCCAGUCCAUUUGCAAGAAGGCAGAAGAUGGAGGGUUCAUCGUACACAUGGGUGGGAGAAAGUGUUGGUGAGGUCCUGUAAUAAGGAAGAACCUUUGUAUUCUAUUACAAGUUAAUCACUAAAGGGAUAUUGCCUAUAAGCUUAAAUUAUACAUAAUGGCCUGUCCCUGGGAACCCUGCCUCCCAUGUAAUGAGUAUUAAGCUAAAAUACCUUUGUUUAGCUCAAAGGAAACAUCCUGACCAGGCCCACCUGUGAAUGACUGCAGGAAGGAAGAAAUUAACACAUACCCUCUGGAGGCUGACAGGAACCAGGACAUGUUUGACUUUACCCCCUCCCCUUUUAGUAUAAAAGAAGCCUGAAUUUCUAACUCAGGCAAGAUGGUUCUUAGGGGCACGAGCCCACCACCUUCUCCGUCUGCUGGCUUUAUGAAUAAAGUCGCUGUUCUUUGCCCCA